rnacentral:rRNA from 1 species
CCUACGGGUGGCAGCAGUGGGGAAUAUUGCACAAUGGGCGGAACCCUGAUGCAGCGACGCCGCGUGAGUGAAGGAGUAUUUCGGUAUGGAAAGCCCUAUCAGCCGGGAAGAACAAUGACGGUACCUGACUAAGAAGCACCGGCUAAAUACGUGCCAGCAGCCGCGGUAAUACGUAGGGUGCAAGCGUUAUCCGGAUUUACUGGGUGUAAAGGGAGCGCAGGCGGCGCGUUAAGCCUGUUGUGAAAGCCUGCGGCCCAACCGGGAGAUUGCAUUUGGAACUGGCGCGCUGGAGUGCCGUAGGGGUAGGCGGAAUUCGUAGUGUAGCGGUGAAAUGCGUAGAUAUUAGGAGGAACACCAGUGGCGAAGGCGGCCUACUGGACGGUGACUGACGCUGAGGCUCGAAAGCGUGGGGAUCAAACAGGAUUAGAUACCCGUGUAGUC